AUUGAAACACCAGUUCCCAUACGAUCACCAAAGUUAAGCAAUGUCAAGCCUGGCCAGUACCUAGAUGGGUGACUACUUGGGAAUACCAAGUGGUGUAA